GACUCACACAGCCUGGACUUCCUAGAAUGACCACUCUCGGUGCUGAGAGCCCUGUAGGCAACUUGCCCGGGCCCCACCGUUCCCUGACAAGGGCUGCAGGUCACCACCCCUGCCCGCACUCAGUGUGGAGAGAGAAACCCGUGUCUCCUCCUAGCAAAAGCAAGCAGCUGCACCAGGCUGUUCACCGCGCACCAGCACCAGGGGCAUCCGAGUUUAAGGAACGUGCUCUGGCUUCAAAGCGCAGCCGUUCACAGGCUGUCCUGAUUAGCAUCAGGGCGCAUUUCCAGUACUUUCUGGAAAGUGGGUUGGAUGGAUGGAUGGAUGGAUGGAUGGACGGAGACAGUGACUGCUUGGCUCUGAUGCCCAGUGCCCCGCAUACGCCACUUCUAGAGACUGUGUGCUGCAGGCUAAUACACUUGGGAAAGCAGCAAGAGAUGACGACCCAAGGACUUGGAACUCUGCUACCCACGUGGGAAACCCAGAUGGAGUUCCAGGCUCCUGGCUUCGCCUGGACCAGGCCUGACUAUUUUGGACAUUUGGGGAGGGAACCAACAGAUAGAAGAUCUCUCUCUCUCUUUCUCUGUAGGCUGCCUUUCAAAUAAGUAAAUAAAUAAAGCUUUGGGGGAAAAAAA